UACAGAGGUCUCAAGCGUUGUUCGGAUUCAUUGGGCGUAAAGGGUGCGUAGGCGGCGCGGUAAGUCGGGUGUGAAAUCUCGGGGCUUAACUCCGAAACUGCAUUCGAUACUGCCGUGCUUGAGGACUGGAGAGGAGACUGGAAUUUACGGUGUAGCGGUGAAAUGCGUAGAUAUCGUAGGGAAGACCAGUUGCGAAGGCGGGUCUCUGGACAGUUCCUGACGCUGAGGCACGAAGGUCAGGGGAGCAAACGGG
rnacentral:rRNA from 1 species